rnacentral:misc_RNA from 1 species
AGUUCAGAAGCAGAGAGUGGAG